rnacentral:rRNA from 1 species
CUGAUGCAGCCAUGCCGCGUGUGUGAAGAAGGCCUUCGGGUUGUAAAGCACUUUCAGCGAGGAGGAAAGGUCAGUAGCUAAUAUCUGCUGACUGUGACGUUACUCGCAGAAGAAGCACCGGCUAACUCCGUGCCAGCAGCCGCGGUAAUAAU